rnacentral:misc_RNA from 1 species
AACGCACGAGACCUGCGGACCUGCGGAAGGAUCAUUACCAACCUUUGGUGAGCCUUGGACUCGUCCAUGGUCUCGCGAAAUCUUGUAUUUAAAACCCGCUCAUAUAACUAAAGAAACAUGUAGUUGAUAUGAUAAUUAAAGAUAACUUUCAACAAUGGAUCUCU